AUUAUCUAAUAUUAAUUAUUGUGAUGUUCUGUUAAUUUUGGCUUUUUUUAGACUGCCAAUAUAAACGCCAUGCGGAGGACACGUUGUUUGUUGUUACGGAGCAUGACGUGACGUGCUCGGAUGAUUACUGGAGGUCCGGGACUCGAGGGUUCGUGGAGUGUAUCAUGAGUGUUCGCCUUGGCUCCCUGCAGGAUGAUUAGCGAGGCCAAGCCAUCCUCACGAAGCCAGGCGUGACGGGAGACUCUCGGAUAGGCGGUGCACGUGGAGGAAUACAGAAACAUGAAAACACGCUUGGAAAUCCCAGUAUCUUCCACCAAAGCCUGUUGAAAGAUGUCGAGAUGAACGCCUAAACGUUUCAGAAUAUAUUGUCUCAGAACUGAGGUGAUAGCAUUUCCAUGCCAACGGGAGUUUCCAGCAGCCACACUGCCUCGUGUGUUUCCCCGCAUACCAAACACAAGCUUAGGUAUAGAUUGGGUCAACCAGGCCUGGCUGGAUGGUAACCGCGGGCACCAGGCUGGAUGAGGGGGAGUCCUGGGGAAACACAGUGGAGGCGGAGCGAGACGUCACACCGGCGCGGGAGUUCCCCGACCGUACCCGCGCAGCUCUAGGAAAACUGUUUUCAUCAAGAAAAGGCUUCA